CAAACGGUCCUUUUCAGGACCACCGAAAAUA
rfam:Aedes albopictus isolate Foshan contig144002, whole genome shotgun sequence.